rnacentral:rRNA from 1 species
GAUGAACGCUGGCGGCGUGCCUAAUACAUGCAAGUCGAGCGAACGGACGAGAAGCUUGCUUCUCUGAUGUUAGCGGCGGACGGGUGAGUAACACGUGGAUAACCUACCUAUAAGACUGGGAUAACUUCGGGAAACCGGAGCUAAUACCGGAUAAUAUUUUGAACCGCAUGGUUCAAAAGUGAAAGACGGUCUUGCUGUCACUUAUAGAUGGAUCCGCGCUGCAUUAGCUAGUUGGUAAGGUAACGGCUUACCAAGGCAACUAUGCAUAGCCGACCUGAGAGGGUGAUCGGCCACACUGGAACUGAGACACGGUCCAGACGCCUACGGGAGGCAGCAGUAGGGAAUCGUCCGCAAUGGGCGAAAGCCUGACGGAGCAACGCCGCGUGAGUGAUGAAGGUCUUCGGAUCGUAAAACUCUGUUAUUAGGGAAGAACAUAUGUGUAAGUAACUGUGCACAUCUUGACGGUACCUAAUCAGAAAGCCACGGCUAACUACGUG